GAUCCGGUGGUCAGCUCAAGCGCCUUCUAAGCGCUUGGCCGCAGGUUCGAGUCCUGCCGGGGGCG
rnacentral:tRNA from 1 species